AGUGAACGCUGGCGGUAGGCCUAACACAUGCAAGUCGAACGGCAGCACAGGAGAGCUUGCUCUCUAGGUGGCGAGUGGCGGACGGGUGAGGAAUACAUCGGAAUCUGCCCAGUCGUGGGGGAUAACGGAGGGAAACUUACGCUAAUACCGCAUACGACCUUCGGGUGAAAGAGGGGGAUCGCAAGACCUCUCGCGAUUGGAUGAGCCGAUGUCGGAUUGGCUAGUUAGCGGGGUAAUGGCCCACCAAGGCGACGAUCCGUAGCUGGUCUGAGAGGAUGAUCAGCCACACUGGAACUGAGACACGGUCCAGACUCCUACGGGAGGCAGCAGUGGGGAAUAUUGGACAAUGGGCGCAAGCCUGAUCCAGCCAUACCGCGUGGGUGAAGAAGGCCUUCGGGUUGUAAAGCCCUUUUGUUGGGAAAGAAAUCUUUCAGGCUAAUACCCUGGGAGGAUGACGGUACCCAAAGAAUAAGCACCGGCUAACUUCGUG
rnacentral:rRNA from 1 species